rnacentral:rRNA from 1 species
UCGCAGGCUGCAACCCGCCCUGCGUGAAGUCGGAAUCGCUAGUAAUCGCGGAUCAGCAUGCCGCGGUGAAUACGUUCCCGGGCCUUGUACACACCGCCCGUCACACCAUGAGAGUCGGGAACACCCGAAGUCCGUAGCCUAACCGCAAGGAGGGCGCGGCCGAAGGUGGGUUCGAUAAUUGGGGUGAAGUCGUAACAAGGUAAC